rnacentral:rRNA from 1 species
GACGAACGCUGGCGGCGUGCUUAACACAUGCAAGUCGAACGGAAAGGCCCUGCCUUUGUGGGGUGCUCGAGUGGCGAACGGGUGAGUAACACGUGAGUAACCUGCCCUUGACUUUGGGAUAACUUCAGGAAACUGGGGCUAAUACCGGAUAGGAGCCCCUCCUGCAUGGUGGGGGUUGGAAAGUUUCGGCGGUUGGGGAUGGGCUCGCGGCUUAUCAGCUUGUUGGUGGGGUAGUGGCUUACCAAGGCUUUGACGGGUAGCCGGCCUGAGAGGGUGACCGGCCACAUUGGGACUGAGAUACGGCCCAGACUCCUACGGGAGGCAGCAGUGGGGAAUAUUGCACAAUGGGCGGAAGCCUGAUGCAGCGACGCCGCGUGCGGGAUGACGGCCUUCGGGUUGUAAACCGCUUUCGGCUGUGACGAAGCGUGAGUGACGGUAAUGGGUAAAGAAGCACCGGCUAACUACGUG